ensembl:lincRNA
CCUUUGGAAGAUUUUACUGCUUUUAUGGUACCCCCCUACAAAACAAAAUUCAAAAAAGGUUUAUUGUAAGGGAUCUUCCAUCCUGUGAAAACCAUUAGCCAUUAAUGCUUUCCCCUCCUAGAAGCAUAUAGAGCAGGCACUGCUCUGAUGCUGCUCUAAGACACUGGACAGCUCCAGACUGCCAGUGGCUUCCUUUGUAGAUACCCGCACUAAAGACCAUAGCGACUGGUGCUUCCCUGCCUUGGCAAACCCUUGCACAGAAGGUACACCACUUCACAAGAUUUUUUUUUUUUUUUUUUUUGAGAGUUUCAACAAUUUGUGGAAUUUCUGCUACAAAACAAAUUGUCAGAGCUAGGCUGGGAGUACAUUUGUCCUGUAAUUUUUAAAUUUCCAUUUAUGUGUAUGCCACAUGUCGGCAGCAUGCAUGCAGAUACCUUCAGAGACCAAAAGUGGGAGCAGGAUCCCCUAGUGAUGGAGUUACAGAUACUUGUACAUGGCCUAAUAUGAGUCCUGGUUCUGAAACACCAGUUCUCUGAAAGAGCAUCCCUUUCAAACAUCUCUCUAGGGCCAGGCUAUUGGUAGUGGUAGGUGGAGAAGACUCAAGGAAGAGCAUUGGCUACUUUUGACUCCCAGCACCCACAUGGCAGCUCUCAACCAUCUGUAACUCCACUUCAAGGGAUCUGACACCUUCUCCUCACAUCCAAGGGCACAAAGGCAUGCUCAAGUGCAUUGAUAUACAUGUAGGCAGAACAUUCAUAUAUUUAUACUUAUUCUGAGACAGGGGUCUCACCAUGUCACCCGCACAGUCUACCAGUCUCUAUGGAGACCUCAGGUUAACCUCAGACUCGAGCGCCUGCCUCUGUCCACCAGUGCUGGGAUUGAUUACACAUGUACUCCAUCUUAACUGCUUUUGGUACAAGUUUGCAUUUCAAGUUCCAAAAUAUAAAACCUCCUAGAAAUGUGUGAAUCAUAAGCAAAGGAAAAGCGAAGCUGACAGGCCUGAGCUGCACACAGACAUUCUAAGACUUAGCUGGCUUCCAGACCUUACUGCAGAUCAUGAGUCAAGAAGAGAGAAAAAAUAGCAGAUAAACAGAGGCUCAAACCACAGACCUCCUUACUAGUGGUUCAUACUGCCAACGACAUCUUAUGAUUUUAAAAGCCAGAACUAAGAAGAUACGGAUCUGAAGGGACCUUUCCUAAGAAGCAGGUUUUAGGUUGAUUCGGAAACACUGAAAGUAUUGAAGUGGUAAUAGCCUAGUUGUUUGUAGAGAUGAAUAUUUACCAUUUAAUAAAUCUACUCUCAAAACUUACAGAGCCAUAUCUAUACUGUGAUCACUAUAUUUGGUAUGCCAACUUUUUAAAUAUUUAAAAAUUCCUUGGAGCCAUGUGGAGUGGUACAUGCCUUUAAUCUCAGCAAAGGCAAGGAGAAUAUCUGAGUUGGAGGCCACCCUGCUCUACUGAGUGACCAGGACAGCAAGGUCUACACACAGAGAAACCAUCUCGAAAAACAAAAUAAAACAAAACAAAAAAUAUAAUUUUUUUCUUCUUGCUAAUUUCUGUAUUUUCUCUUUAUUUGCUGACUUCAUUUUUUCCCUCCUUUAAUUUUCUUGUAAAACUUAUUUUUUUAAUUGGUUUAUUUUAUACAUAUUGCAUGUACACCCAAGUUUAUGUAUGUAUACCACAUACAUAUACACGCCUUUGGAGGCCAGAGGGGGAUCUGAUCCCUGGAAUUGGAGUUAUAGGUGGUUAUACGCCAGCAAGUACGCGCUGGGAACUGAACCCAGGACCUUCACAAGAACAACCCAGUGCUCUUAACUUAUGCGCCAUCUCUCUAGCACCACUUAGAAAACCCAAAAAAAGAAGGAAAGCUCAAGAUUUGCUUCCAUUUGACCCACACUUCUGGUAAUAUUACCCAAGUUUCCACAGAGAUAAGUAACAGGUAUAAAUAAAUAAUAACAUACUCAUUAUGACUAAGUACCUAUCACAUUUCUGGUGAUAUUAUUCAAGUUUCCCAAACUUUUAUUCAAGAAUUGGAAACACUUCAUUGAACAUUGUUUUUAUUUCAUCCUCAUUUAAAAAUAUUCUACAAGUUUUCAGUCUAAUUGCACAUGAAUGUUCACUGAGAUAUAAUCUUUCUUGUUCAUUUAAUCAUCCACACAUUUUCUCAUCCCCAGUCAGAUAUGAGUGGACUGAUCUUGGAUGUCUAAAAAGGGUUAUUAUAAAACUUGGUACUAUAUCAACAAUAAUUGCACUUUGUUUGUCAAGAAUACAAUCAUACCAUGACACGCUAAAAAACAACCAAUAUCUUCAGCUAAAUAACAGAUCCAGUUUCUAACACAUCUGGCCAAAUUGCAGACCUGGCUUAGAGCAGUUUCCUAACAUUCCUUAAACAUCCACUGUGCGUCCUCUUAUGCUGAGCAGAUGUGAGCAGACAGUGCAGACAGAUGUGAGACUUAUACACACACUCCAGUUUCAUCUAACCAACAGAACAGUAGCAACUAAGUACUUAAGAAACAAAUGAGCUCUAGAAAGGAACAAAGGGAGAGCUCAUCACGUCAUCAAAACAACAGGCGUCCUCAGUCACACACACAGUAAGAGAUAAGCCGUGCAGUCAAAGAACUAACCAACUAUUAGACUGAACAUGGCUCCUUCCUUUCCUUCUGAUCUUGUUUCAAGAAGAAUGACUGAACAGUGGUGUAUGGUGGAAUAAACCUUUUAGCCCAACACUUGAGAGACAGAAGCAGGCGAUCUCAGAGUUUGAGGCCAGCCCAAUCUACAAAGGGUUUCAAUAAGAAAAUAAGGACUGCACACUUAUCCACCAAUCUACAUAGGUUUCAAUAGAAAAAUAAGGUCUGCACACUUAUCCAGUGAGAUGAGAAAGUAACACUUACACAACUGUUAAUAGUUUUAAGACAUAGACCACACCGGCCUUGAAUUCCUGAUAUUCUUGCCUUAGCAUCAAUGUGCUCAGAUUAUUGAGUUCACUGUUAUCUAGCUAACUCAAGCAGAUUUUUAAAAUAAACUUUUUUUUUUUCUUAUGUCAUUUUCUGUAAAGCAACGCUGCACCUCUUGCAGAGUAAGAGCCUCACCUCAGUUAUAGACACUUC